rnacentral:lncRNA from 1 species
AAGGCUGCAGAGAUUUGUUGAGAAGCUGCUGCUCCAGCUUCAGAAGAUCUUUUGAAGAUCUUCUAGAUCAGAUCCAGAUCUAAUUUUUGGAGCAAAAAUUUACAAGGAGAAGACAAUCUAGAUCCUGCUUGAGUGGAUAUUGGUAGAGGCCAGGCGACUACAUGGCUAUUUUAGAACCUCGAGCAUUGCUGCGAUCAUCUACAGGGUAAUCUAGUUACCUUAGAGGUA